rnacentral:tRNA from 1 species
GUUAAGUUAGUUUAUUAAAAUACCAAGCUGUGGAUUUGGAGAUGAGAGCUAUUCUUACUUAACC